CCUCGGGCGGCAGCAGUGGGGAAUAUUGGGCAAUGGGCGCAAGCCUGACACAGCAACGCCGCGUGAAGGAAGAAGGCUUUCGGGUUGUAAACUUCUUUUCUCAGGGACGAAGCAAGUGACGGUACCUGAGGAAUAAGACACGGCUAACUAAGUGCCAGCAGCCGCGGUAAUACGUAGGUGGCAAGCGUUAUCCGGAUUUACUGGGUGUAAAGGGCGUGUAGGCGGGGACGUAAUUCAGAUGUGAAAACCACGGGCUCAACCUGUGGCCUGCAUUUGAAACUGUGUUUCUUGAGUACUGGAGAGGCAGACGGAAUUCCUAGUGUAGCGGUGAAAUGCGUAGAUAUUAGGAGGAACACCAGUGGCGAAGGCGGUCUGCUGGACAGCAACUGACGCUGAGGCGCGAAAACGUGGGGAGCAAACAGGAUUAGAUACCCUAGUAGUC
rnacentral:rRNA from 1 species